UCCAGCCUGUUCGGAUGUUCUUCGCGUCUCCCUGCUGAGGCAACCAGGAAUUACAGGUUCAUGCGAGUUCAUCUGUACAAAGCCACAGAACACCUCCUUUCUCAUGCAGGAACCUAGCAGAUACAGUCCGCUAUUGGCAGGGAUCGCUAAUGUGAUGCAGGAAGACUCAUCCUCGAACAGUUUUCCGCUCCUCGUCCUGGAAGAAAAGUUUAUGCUUGCAGUGUUGUCCAAGGACAAAACCAAUACAGACGUUCAGGAACAGAAUUUUUUGUACCCAAAUGGAAGCUGCAUCUUCUUAGUGCGAUCUCUCAGCCAUGGCAUCAGUUGAGGCAGGUACCGAGAGGUAACCCUCAUUUCAGACCGCAGGGUUGAAACCGGGAAGACCAGUCGAGAGAACGAGAACUAGACCCUGAUGGAAGCGGGACAAAACCCGCCUUCGGGCGACCGUUACCGCCGCGACGCGGCCCGCGGGCGCCAUCUUGUGGGCAGGCGGCCAUUAGCCGCGGGCGCGCCGGUCACGUCCCCCUUCUCCUGAGGGGGCUCCCGGGCGGCCGGGCCGAUCGGUACGGCCGGCGCUGCGGAGCGCGCGGGCCCCGCCGGUCGGAGCGGCGGCGGCUGCCGGCCCCAGGGUGCCCUGAGGGGGCUCAUGUCGGGGGCGCUGGCGGCUGUUUCCAGCACAGCGCCCAACAGUGACCUGAGUGCACGAGUUGUGGGGGCGUGACGGCUCCGAGGCUUUCAGAAUUCCCUUGUUUCCCCUUUCUCUCCGAGCACUUGAUUUACGGAUGAAAGACUUCGCAACUCAGGGUUGUAAAGCAGCAAGGGGGAGAAGACGAGGCUGCUGGAGCGCCGCGGGAGGGCCCAGGGACUGCCCGCCAUGCCAAGGAGCUGCGAGCAGCCCCGAAGAGCUGUCACGGCGCCCACCCUUUCCAGCCGGAGAGCUGCCAGCAACGGUGACGUGUGGAAAACAGAUUCCACAAUCUGAUAGAUUGUAAAGUAGGUAAUCAUAGGUGAAACACAGGGAAACUGAAUUGAAUUCACCUUUGAAUAAGUGGGAAAGCAGAAAAGUUUCUUUGUUCAUCGCUACCGCACUCUUUCUCCAUUCCUUUAGUGUGUAUUUACAAUAUAGUUUUUUAAACAGGAAAGUAAAUCAAGAUUGUAGAAUGCUGCUGUAUGAAAAACAUGAUCAAAUUCAGAUCCCUUUUAUGGUAGGAUGAACGACAGCUAAAAGUCAUCAACAUACUUAUUCCAUAAUGCAAUCUAUCUUAAAAUCCUAAAAACCCAUUAUGUAAAUUGGGCUAGUAUAUGAAUGAGAAAUGUUUUGAAAAACUUCAACUGUUUAAAAAACCCAUCUUUUCAUUUCAGAAAAGAAAGUUUAUACGAUGAGUGUAUCUGUUUAUGCUUAUUAAUUGACAGUGGUUCCUCUGAACC